UCAGGCAGGUAGUAGAAGCACACUGACACACAGAUGUUGCUGGGAAAGCAGAUGUCUAUACAGAAGUAAAUGAGCCGUUGUUUCCCUGGACCUGUGGACAGAGGGUGUGGAUCUCAGUUCACUCUCAUCUAAUUACAACUUGUUGUAUACAGCAGCCCGAGAAAAGGACAUGUCGCCAAAAGGUCCAGGGAUUAUGUUUCAGUUCCAAGUCUGCUUGGAACCAGUGACACAACACGGAUCUCCAGUUCCAGGCUUAGUUUUUGAAGUCUAAGCUCUUUCUUAUUAAAUUUGAGUGGUAUUGUGUAAAAUUGAAUUGGUUCCAGAACAAAAGUUGAGAGUUUUGACAUUUGAACAUGCCUUUGGUUUUAAAAUAUAGUGCAAAUUUGUUCUUCCACUGAUGUUGAUUUGAAGCAGUUCUGCUGUAGAUAUCCCAAUAUGUUCUUCAAUUGCUGUAUGUUAUGAAUGAAAAAAAUAUAGAAGUAGCUGAUCUACUGUAGUAAAUGUUAGUCAAGAAACAAUUAA